AACGAGUUAAUCUAAGUUUAAGAUGGCGAACUUCAAAUUCGAAUAUAAGCAAGAAUGUGCUUACUCGUUG
rnacentral:tRNA from 1 species